AGCGAACGCUGGCGGCAGGCUUAACACAUGCAAGUCGAGCGGGCGUAGCAAUACGUCAGCGGCAGACGGGUGAGUAACGCGUGGGAACAUACCUUUUGGUUCGGAACAACACAGGGAAACUUGUGCUAAUACCGGAUAAGCCCUUACGGGGAAAGGAUUUAUCGCCGAAAGAUUGGCCCGCGUCUGAUUAGCUAGUUGGUGAGGUAAUGGCUCACCAAGGCGACGAUCAGUAGCGGUCUGAGAGGAUGAUCAGCCACACUGGGACUGAGACACGGCCCAGACUCCUACGGGAGGCAGCAGUGGGGGAAUUUU
rnacentral:rRNA from 1 species